GCUCACAAGUGGGAUGUGUUAAAUGAGACGACGGAUGGUCCCUCGGUCAUGUACAAGUUGUACAAGAGCGAGCUGGACGCGAUCACGCCUGAGCAGGUGGAAUGGGAGCCGUAUGGAAAAGGAGAGAGUUUUGGUAACCCUAUAGAGUUCAGGCUGAAUCCGAUGUGCACUAGGGAUAGGGAUCUCUGACAUAUGCGGUGCUCACUGAUAUGCAACUGGGCGGUUGAGCUUCACCUGCCACAUCGGGUGUUCCGCCAGUUUGGUUUGUUCCAGCCACACCCGUCGGAGUGGGAGGACACAGACAAGUUGCUACACGCGUUGGAUAGGAAAAAGCAGCGGAAGAUCAAGGAUUGGGCCAAGCAUCACAGGAAGU